rnacentral:rRNA from 1 species
UACGUAGGGUGCAAGCGUUGUCCGGAAUUAUUGGGCGUAAAGAGCUCGUAGGCGGUUUGUCGCGUCUGCUGUGAAAACUCGGGGCUUAACUCCGGGCCUGCAGUGGGUACGGGCAGACUAGAGUGCGGUAGGGGAGACUGGAAUUCCUGGUGUAGCGGUGAAAUGCGCAGAUAUCAGGAGGAACACCAAUUGCGAAGGCAGCUCGCUGGGACGUUACUGACGCUGAGACGCGAAAGCGUGGGGAGCAAACAGG